UUUUUUGGUCACUAUUAUUUUAUGCCUAUGCCUGACACGCACAAACACACACACACACACACAAACACACACACACACACACAAAACACCACUGUUCAAAAUGUUUUUGAAAGAAGGCUCCUAUGCUCUUCCAGACUACAUUUAUUUCAGUAAUCAUUACUCCAUACUUCAGUGUCACAUGAUCCUUUAGAAAUCAUUCUAAUAUGCUGCUUUGAUGCUCAAGUGACAUUUAUUAUAAUUAUCAAUGAUGAAAGUUCUUAUAAUUUAUGCUGCUUAAUAUUUUUGUGGAAAAAUUAUUAGAGAACAGGAUUGAUUUGAGAUAGAAAUAUUUUGUAACAUUAUAAAUGUAUUUACGGUCACUUUAUCAAUUUAAUGUGUUCUUGCUGAAUAUAUUUAUUAAGUACUUUAAAAAAAAAACUUAACUCCAAACAUUUUAAUGAACAUUCAGUAUCUCAGAUGUAAGCUGUUAGAAAGAUAUUCAAUAUAUUGUUUAUGAAUAUAAAGUUCUAUAAUGUGUGAAAUAUUUAUGCUAAGAUCAUCUGAAAAUCCUGUGUUAUCGUGCAGGGCAUUGAGUUGUGUACUGCACAUAUGUGAGUAGAAAAACACUGUAUUUGUAUAUAUGAAUUGUGCAUUCUUACUAAAUAUUAACUACUUUUAUAGAAGGAAGCAAACUGACAGCAAAACUAGAAAAAAGUAAACUACAUUUAAAACUAAAACUGCAAUUUUGUAAUUUAUUUUAGAAAUAAAGCUUUUAAUUGUAAUGGAAACGGUUACAUUUCUUUCUUGUUCAUUUUAAAUGAUGUUGUUCAAUUGUUAAUUUUCCUAUGCUAUAACAUGCAUUUUUGAAUGCACAAAUAUUCCAAGUAAUCCUUCGAUUCACGUGAGAUAAUAAAAGCUACAAGAAAUUAAUUAGUAAAUGUUGUUUAAAAUAGUUUUAUAUGGCGUAUAGCAGGGGUUGGGCCAACCCCUGGCGUACUAGGUAUGUUGCACCAAAAUUAAUUAGUUAAAAUGUUUAGUUUAAAAUAGGUUUAUAUGGCGUAGUAGCCACGGGUUGGCACCCCUGGCGUAUAGUAUGUUGCACCAGACAAAACAUGUCAGCUUUCCAAAAAUGUGUUUGAUGUCAGCUAUUGUAUUUUUAAG
rnacentral:lncRNA from 1 species